CCUACGGGCGUCAGCAGUGGGGAAUAUUGCACAAUGGGGGAAACCCUGAUGCAGCGACGCCGCGUGAGUGAAGAAGUAAUUCGUUACGUAAAGCUCUAUCAGCAGGGAAGAAACACUGACCUUACGGUCAGCAGACGGUACCUGAGUAAGAAGCCCCGUCUAACUACGUGCCAGCAGCCGCGGUAAUACGUAGGGGGCAAGCGUUAUCCGGAUUUACUGGGUGUAAAGGGAGCGUAGACGGGGCGCCAAGUCUGGAGUGAAAUGCCGCAGCUUAACGGCGGAACUGCUUUGGAAACUGGCGAACUAGAGUGCGGGAGGGGUAAGCGGAAUUCCUAGUGUAGCGGUGAAAUGCGUAGAUAUUAGGAGGAACACCGGUGGCGAAGGCGGCUUACUGGACCGUAACUGACGUUGAGGCUCGAAAGCGUGGGGAGCAAACAGGAUUAGAUACCCGAGUAGUC
rnacentral:rRNA from 1 species